rnacentral:lncRNA from 1 species
CUUUAAUAACAAGUGAAAAGAGCUUGUAUUUGCCAAAAUGAACACAGGAUAUGAUUCUUUUUUUGCUUUUGCUUUGGAGUUGUAUCAGCUCUGUGCGGUCACAUGGGUAUCUACAAAUCAAAGCACCCAUCAACCAGAUGCAUCUCUGAGAGUUAACAGCAGAAGGUGGCAUAAUAAAAGAAGUUCUCGGUAGUGAAAAAGGUUGGAAACCACCAGCUAAACCAAUCCUCUUGUACCAAUAGGAGAUUCAAGUUGAGAGGUGGGAAAGGGCCUAUCUCAGAGUAGGUGCUUGAAUACUUCUUACUAGAAUGAAAGAAGGAACUUAAGAUCACACAGCCAUGUUACUGCAGGACGGGGAAUGGAACCUAGGUCUUCUUAUUUUUGGUUCAGUGUUAACUCCCAUUCUCUAAGCAGACUGGGCCUGUUAUUCAAACUGCCUUCCCAUAGGUGCUUCCCUGCUUCUCUCCUCACCCAGAGAAGGACUUACAAACAGCUUAUCUUCAGAGGUUUUGUGCCUGAUAGUUAUGGAAUGUGCUGGUUUGAGCAGGGAGGAUGUAAGGGGAGGGAAUGCUAAAAGCCUGUCUACUUAGAGUCAGGUUUCCUGGGUAAGUCCCUGGAACCCCAUCCCCUUCCCCUUUCUUGAGACCCCAGGACUUGCUCCAGUAACUGCCACCCUGUGCCUUUGCUUCAGGGCCAUGCUGGAUAAGGAGCUGGCUGCCUCUGUGAACAUCCUACUCAAGGCAUCUUCACUGCUGUACAUCCUUUUGAAAUCCCAGAGAUCUUCAGUCUCCCUGUGGAUUAAGGAGAUGUGCAGUAUUUAAAGUGGCUUCAGGAAGGCAUGGAAGAGGACUGAGUGGGGAAAGCUUUUUGUGCAUGCUGCUGGCUACCUCCAGCGGCUGCCUCCAGCCUCCAUCAGCUGCACUCUGGGGAAGAGGAGGCUGCCUUCUACCUCCCAGCAUCUCUGGAUUUCAUGUUCCUGUCAGCACAGAGGAGCUAAAUGGCCUGUAGAGGCUGAAGGUCUGAGGCUCCUAAAGCUGGAAGAAAAGGCUGGGCCAGUCAGGCCAAGCAAGAACACAGUGUAACUUGUCUCUGAGUGCUUCAUGGUUAAGGGGGCUAAGCAGGCACAAGGGCAUGAGGAUGGUUAUAUGUACAGACUGAGGGGAAGAAGCAGUGAAGAUGAGACUUGCCAUCUUCUUGAGUCAGUAGGCCUGCCUCAGGUGCCUAGGAUGUAAUUGCUCUGCUGCUUCUCAUGGGGAGGAGUGGCCCUCAUGACCUUGUUUACCUGGAAGAGUGUGGGAUGAAUGCCUCCUCCUAUGGGGACUCGCAAGUGCUUUAGCAAAAGGAUAAAUUGCUAAUUGUGGCAUUUCGUGGAUCAGCAGGAUUAUUUCUCCUUGCUAAAGAGGAUUUUGUUGGUCCUGAAUUCUGAGGAGGUGGGACUAGGAAUGGGCUCCAUGAGCCUGUGUAUGACUCAGGGAAUAUUAGGACUUUGGCACAGCCUCAUGGGUUGGGAGUAAGUCUUGGCUCUUCCCUAGCCUGAAUGACAGACAUCAGAUCAUUCUGGUGCUUUGUCCAUGAAGAUGUAGAUUCUGAGCCCACCCAACUAAUCUUUUCACUUGAGCACAGAAACAGCCCCGGGAAUCGGACAGACCCGUGUCUUUCAGGUUUGCUUCACAGAGCCCCAGGGGUUGACAAUAGGUGCCUUGGAGACUGCCUGCAUGGGGAUUUUUAAAAAGCUUUCUUUGUUAAAGGUUUGUAAACCACUCCUCUGAGCCUGUUUUCAUUUUAUAGAUUAUUCAGGGAACUGAACUGCACAGAGAUCCAGAAAGUGGGUAGUGCAGGCUGUAGUGCUGAUAACUACUGUACUACUUGGAUCUUUGUGCUCCCAAAUACCAAAUGGAAGAGGAUCUCUGAGAGUCCUUUGCAAAGAUCUUGUAGGGACUUUAGGCUGGGGCCUUCGGAAAAUUCCAGAGGAUUCCAAUGGAGAUUUUGAGGGACUGACUCAGAAGAACAAAGAGAAUGAUAAUGGUGAUGUCCCUGCUUUUUACAACAGAUCAUGUUCUGAUAUAUAUGCAAAUCUGUGUAAAGUAAACCCUACCUAAAAUGUACUGGGGACCCAAGAUGGACUGCCUGUAUUGCUUCCAGGAUAAAGUCCAAUUUCUAGCUCUGGUUUUUAUAACCUUGCUUCAGCUCACCUUUUCCGUCAUCAUCCCCUCCAUCUCCUCUCCCACGCUGGGAAAUGGAUGGCUGCACUAUACUGUGUGAUGUUAUUGCUAUGUUCAUGCCAUCCCCUCUGCCUGGAAUGCCCUUCUGCAUGAAUGCCUGUGAAAUGUUGUUGCUCCUUUGUAUGGCCUGGCUUCCGUGGUUGGCAGGAAUCUCUUCUUUCGUGGUAUUCCUGUCAUCUUUGUGCAUCACAGUCAGCUUUGUAUUCCUAGCUUGUAAGCUACUUGAGGAUAGGGGCAUGUCUGAAUCUAUUUAAUCUCUUGCACCUGUUUGGCAAAUUGAUGUUUUAAGUAUUUAAAUAACUAAAGCUCUCUCUACAGUACAUACUCACUUUUGAUUUAUGAAUUGGCAAAAUUCAACUUUUUUCCUUGAAUAUUCUUAAAGUGAGAUGAAUUCCAAAGGAGAGUGUUCUGUGUGUGGCCUUCAUUGAGUGGUUUUCUGUUACCAGAAAGCUCUUGGUGGCCUUCCUCUUCCCUGGUGUCAAGGUUGACUGUUAUAGGAAAUGGGAGGGGAGAGGGCCGUUUCUGCCACGCAUUGUCCUAGGUUCUUAACAUUAUUUAAUCCUUAUAAUGCAAUGUUAUCCUCAUUUUACAGAUGAAACCUGAGACCAAAGAACAUGUAACACAUAAAGUACAUUGCAGAGUUAGGAUGUGAACCCAACUCUGAUUCUAAACCUAAUGCUCUCACUCUUUCAUUCAGAGGUUCAGUCAGUUCUUUGUAGGCUGUAGAUCCAGAGAAGCUGCCGUAGCCAACAAUGAAGUUGUUAGUUUUUAAAACAUCUAUGUGGUAAGUUGGUCUGGCACUUAAAAAUGUAUUGUUUCCCAGGCACGGUGGUUCACACCUGUAAUCCCAGCAUUUUGGGAGGCCGAGGCAGGCGGAUCAUUAGGUCAAAAGAUUGAGACCAUCCUGACCAACAUGGUGAAACCCCGUCUCUACUAAAAGUACAAAAAUU